AACGAACGCUGGCGGCAUGCCUAACACAUGCAAGUCGAACGAGACCUUCGGGUCUAGUGUCGCACGGGUGCGUAACGCGUGGGAACCUGCCCUUAGGUUCGGAAUAACUCCCCGAAAGGGGUGCUAAUACCGGAUAAUGUCUUCGGACCAAAGAUUUAGCGCCUUUGGAUGGGCCCGCGGUGGAUUAGCUAGUUGGUAGGGUAAAAGCGUACCAAGGCGACGAUCCAUAGCUGGUCUGAGAGGAUGAGCAGCCACACUGGGACUGAGACACGGCCCAGACUCCUACGGAAGGCAGCAGUGGGGAAUAUAGGACAACGGGCGAAAGCAUGAUGCAGCAAUGGCGCGAGAGUGAUGAAGGCCUUAGAGUAGUAAAGCUCUUUUACCCGGGAUGAUAAUGACAGUACCGGAAGAAUAAGCACCGGCUAACUCCGUG
rnacentral:rRNA from 1 species